UUCCAACCAUCUGGUUUGUUGUUGCAUCUUUAUAAUAGCUUUGUUCUCCAUGAUCCUAGAAACUCAAACAUUGACACAACAGAAAUAAUACAAUUAAAAAAAUAACACAAAGCAGUAAAGUUGGGUUACCUCCCAACAAGCGCUUGAUUUAAUGUUGCAGCACAAAUCAAAUCACUUUUUGCCUCCACUUUGAACUUAUG
rnacentral:lncRNA from 1 species